UGCGUAGGCGGACUAAUAAGUCAGUGGUGAAAUCUUUCGGCUCAACCGAGAAACUGCCAUUGAUACUGUUAGUCUUGAGUUCGGUUGAGGUAGGCGGAAUGUGUAAUGUAGCGGUGAAAUGCUUAGAUAUUACACAGAACACCAAUUGCGUAGGCAGCUUACUAGACCGACACUGACGCUGAGGCACGAAAGCGUGGGGAGCGAAAAGGAUUAGAUACCCUGGUAGUCC
rnacentral:rRNA from 1 species